rnacentral:rRNA from 1 species
GACGAACCGUGCGAACGUUAUUCGGAAUCAUUGGGCUUAAAGGGCGCGUAGGCGGGCGACCGCGUCGAUGGCUGAAAGCCCCCGGCUUAACCGGGGAGGGUCGUUGGGGACGGCGGGGCUUGAGGGCGGGAGAGGUCGGUGGAAUUCCCGGUGUAGUGGUGAAAUGCGUAGAGAUCGGGAGGAACACCUGUGGCGAAGGCGGCCGACUGGGCCGACCCUGACGCUGAGGCGCGAAGGCGUGGGGAGCGAACGGG